rnacentral:lncRNA from 1 species
UGUUGCCCUUAGCCAAAAACACAUUAAGCCGUCUCCAAGUUUGAAGCAUUCAGCAAGUGGUGGCAAGGCAGAGCCACCAGAAGAGAACACCUAGUUUCCAUGACAAAUAUGGAAAUGCUAUAUUAGCAGGUGGAGCCAUCUUCUGUGUUUCUACAUGGAUAUAUACAGCCACACAAAUUAGAAUAGAAUGGAACCUGUCCCCUGUUGGCAGAGUCACCCCAAAGGAAUGGAGAGAUCA